GCCAGGCGCAUGGCUCUUCGGGAGGCGCUGAGAUUCCGGGCCCGGCGGCCGCGGGCAACGGGUGCAUGUUAGAAACGGGGAUGCUGGCCCCCUCUUUGCCUUUGGGGGCUUCUUUUUAUAAUAGCAGCAGGUGCAACUUUUGUAUUUUAAAAACAUUGAUUUUCAUUUUCGUGUGGGUAUGUAGGGGUUUGUUUUCCACCGAGCUGCGCUCUAUUAGGGCGCCAAGCGGGCGAAGCAAAAGGCAGGGAUGGCGGGCGGGGCGGCGGUGAAGGCGACGGCGGAGGUGGAAUGGGCGCUUUUUCUCCCAUCUGGUUCCCUUAAUUUAUUUAUUUAGACUAGAAAAAGCGAGCCGGCUUGGAGGGAGUCCGCCCAGCGAUCCGAGUGCGCAUUGAUCAGUGUCGAGAGAAAAAAGGCUACAUAAAUAUAUAUUAUGUGGAUAAAUCUAUGGACAAGAGCUCUCUCUCUCGCGCGCGCUUUCUCUCCGUCUCUCUCAGCUGUUUUCCUCCUUGUGCCCCCAACCUGCCAGAGCAGCCCAAAAUCUUCGCCCUCACGCACAGCCUCUACCGCCACCCGAGCCACCUGGGAGAUCGGGACUGGGGAACGGUUGGGCCGUGAUGCGCGUAGAGAUUCGGAUUCCGAACCUCUUCCCAAUCUGCCUGAGAAGGCUAGAGAUGGGAGUUUCCGUCCCGGACGGCCUCCUCUGCUCCGAAGCGCGGCCGCUAGUCGGGCGGGCGGCUGGCGGGAGGAAGGUAGCAGCCGGGCGCCUCGGCCCGCUCGCCCACCGGGGAAGAAGGCAGGCUUUGGACGCGGUGACCGAGAAAUGAGACCCCAGCUGCCUGAAAACCGGGACCAAGCCCGUUGGUACAACCACAACGCAGAGCUCUCCAGCGCCAGGACGAGGCCCGAGGAGGCCUUGAGGUUCGCAGCCCCAGGCCCCGGGCCCACCCGGGACACCUCUCCCUGAGGAUCCAGGGCCCCAAACAGACAGCAAGUACAAUUCUGGGAACUGUGGAACUUCAUCCUUUCAUUUUAAGAUUCUCCUGCCUUUGCUUGAUGGAACCGUGUCCAAUGGAACAUCACCAGAUGUGACACAAACAAAGAACUGAAAGAAAAAAAAUUGAAAUUUUCUUCUCCUGCUGCUCUUGGGAACCCUCAACCAACCAGGCACGCCUGCUGGAGAGACAAGGCCCAGUGCCACCUGCCAUCAAAACUGACAACCACCACCGACUGUCAGACAUGUGAAUGAGGCCAUCUUGGACCAAGCAGCCCUCAUCCAACCGUGAACUUUAUGUAGCCACAGGAGUGAGCCCUGGGGAGACCAGCAGAAGAACCAUUCUGCUGAGCCCAGCCCCGAUUGCCCACCCACAUUAUCAUGAAUUAAUAUUAAAUGAUUGUUAUUUUAAAUCACUAAGCUUUUGGCAAUGAUUGUCAUUCACAGAAAGAGCUAACUAACUGAUCCAGUUGGUAAUAGAGGGGAAAAGUCUCUCCCCUGAAGGAAGGGUUAUUUGGCGAGAACUUGUGGGUGUAGGUAGAUGUGUAAUUCUAUGUUUAAACAUGCUUUAUAAUCCUGAGCUCACUUUAUGACUUUAAAAACAUAAAAAUUAGCUCUUAUUGGAGGACCUACCAUUAAUUCUCACACAGAAAUGCAUAUUAACAAUCAAGCAUGGGCACAGGAUGACAGUGCUGGCAUGCUCGAAAAUACUGAGGCCUUGGGAAGAAAGCCAAAGAAAAACUAGCUCAGCGAGGAUGCUGCACCAUAGCAUCUGUGUUGAGGUUAUGACUUGCUCUUUGGAAGUGAAAGGAUUCACCUCAGCCCUAUUCCCAGCCUGUGUCCAUGAGGUGGGCAUCACUUCAGCAUCUUUUACCCAGGAGCUCACCCCAGGCGUCCUGGUUCCUUGAUAAACAGUUCCUACAAAAUGAGACUCAGUCAAACAAGAUUCUCUACCUUGCCUGAGGCCUGACUUUUGGGAACCUGCCACCUCUUUGCAUAAGUGUCUCUAGGUAUGAUUGUCCCUCUCAAGGGAGACCAAGUGCCCUUCCAGGGACAAGACCUUUGCCCGGCAGACC